UACGUGAGGGGCAAGCGUUGUCCGGAUUUAUUGGGCGUAAAGAGCGUGUAGGCGGUUUGGUAGGUCCGCUGUGAAAACGUCGAGGCUCAACCUCGAGACGCCGGUGGAAACCAUCAGACUAGAGUCCGGAAGAGGAGAGUGGAAUUCCUGGUGUAGCGGUGAAAUGCGCAGAUAUCAGGAAGAACACCCGUGGCUAAGGCGGCUCUCUAGUACGGUACUGACGCUGAGACGCGAAAGCGUGGGGAGCGAACAGG
rnacentral:rRNA from 1 species